rnacentral:rRNA from 1 species
ACGUAGGGGGCGAGCGUUGUCCGGAAUUACUGGGUGUAAAGGGAGCGUAGGCGGGGAGACAAGUCGGAUGUGAAAACUAUGGGCUUAACCGAUAAAGUGCAGUUGAAACUGUAUUUCUUGAGUGCAGCAGAGGAAGGCGGAAUUCCUAGUGUAGCGGUGAAAUGCGUAGAUAUUAGGAGGAACACCAGUGGCGAAGGCGGCCUGCUGGCCUUUAACUGACGCUGAGGCUCGAAAGUGUGGGGAGCAAACAG